rnacentral:tRNA from 1 species
GCGAGGGUGGCGGAACUGGCAGACGCGCUGGAUUUAGGAUCCAGUGGGCAACCGUGGGNNGGGCAACCGUGGGGGUUCGAAUCCCCCCUCUCGCA